rnacentral:rRNA from 1 species
GACAGAGGGGGCAAACGUUGUUCGGAAUUACUGGGCGUAAAGCGCGUGUAGGCGGUCUCGCAAGUCGGAUGUGAAAGCCCAGGGCUCAACCCUGGAAGUGCACUCGAUACUGCGAGGCUAGAGUCCCGGAGAGGAUGGUGGAACUCUCGGUGUAGAGGUGAAAUUCGUAGAUAUCGAGAAGAACACCGGUGGCGAAGGCGGCCAUCUGGACGGUGACUGACGCUGAGACGCGAAAGCGUGGGGAGCAAACAGG